rnacentral:rRNA from 1 species
CGGCGUGGUUUAGACAUGCAAGUCGAACGGUUUUUCAGAUAUAGCAAUAUAUUUGAAUGACAGUGGCGAACGGGUGCGUAACACGUGAACAAUCUACCUUCAAAUGGGGAAUAGCUCGCCGAAAGGCGGAUUAAUACCGCAUAUGGUUAUUUUUCGCAUGAAAAAUAUACCAAAGUCAGGGACCGCAAGGCCUGACGUUCGAAGAGGAGUUCGCGGCCUAUCAGCUAGUUGGCGAGGUAACGGCUCACCAAGGCUAAGACGGGUAGCUGGUCUGAGAGGAUGAUCAGCCACACUGGAACUGAGACACGGUCCAGACACCUACGGGUGCCAGCA